rnacentral:lncRNA from 1 species
AAAUUAAGGUGGUUGGUCACAUAAUCUGGAUAUUUUUGACGAUUAAUCAUAUAGUUAACAAAAAUCACUAUAUUUUUGUGCCAAAACUCCAGUAUUUUGAAUUCAUAGGUUGUCAAUUUGUUUUCAGCACCCCCCACCACUGAUCAAAAAUUGUUCUCGCAUGGCUCUUUCAUCCAUCUGCAGCAGACAUCUGGUGAGAAAUAUGUUUGAAAGAUCAAAUAGCAAUACAAUCGCAAUAUGGUGAUAAUAUCAUCAAGUCUCUGGCAACUACCAGCCCUACUAUUAGACCACUUCCUCCCACAGGCAAGUGUCAGAAAUGCACCAGGCCCAGUCUUGGGGAAUGAGGAAGUGUCUGGGGUAGUGAUAUUCUGCAGUUCUGUCUAGUUCUCUGUCGGGCUGGUUAGAACAAGUGGCCUGGCUGACGAGCUAGGGAGGGAGCACUGGCCUGGUUAGAACUGAUCCUGGCUGGCUGGAGAGGGAGCCCUGGCCUGGUUAGAACAAGUCCUUGUGGCCUGGCUGACUAGCUGGGGAGCGAGACCUGGCCCUGUUAGAAUGGAUCCUGGCUGGCUGGCGAGGGAGAGUUGGCCUGGUUAGAACACACCCUGGCUGGCUGGCAGGGGAGCCCUGGCCUGGUUAGAACGAGUCCUGGUGGCCUGGCUGACUAGCUGGGGAGCGAGACCUGGCCCUGUUAGAAUGGAUCCUGGCUGGCGGCGAGGGAGAGUUGGCCUGGUUAAAACGAGUCCUGGCUGGCAAGGGAGGGAGCACUAGACUGGUUAGAACGGAUCCUGGCUGGCUGGCAGGGGAGGGAGCGCUGGACUGGUUAGUCCUUGGGCUGGGAAAAGGAGAAGAACGGCAAAAGGGAGAUGAAGGGGGAAACUCCUUCUGGAGGUUGAAAACCAACUUGAAGGUAUAUUACCACCACCAACUAUACUGGAGUAUGGACCUCAGUUCAUCUUUCAAUCAACCACGUGGGUAUGUACUCCUAAAACCAAUGAGAUGGGAGAGGCGGGACUUGCAGCGCAUCAAGAGUCACUAAUAGAACCAAGUUCUAUUUUAGCGCCAGACUAUACAUGCGCUCGUGAGCAGUUUGGAUGAAAUGAAUGAAUAACAGGCAUAAAUUCAUUUUGCAAUGCCCGCACGUGUUGCAUAUUCUGUCUGCCUCCCCACUCACAGAAUGGAAUUCGCAAAAUGUUCAAAUGUUUCCAACCUGCAAUGUAAUUGUCUUUACCACCAGCCAACCAAAGCGUUGAAAUGUUGUUUUCAUUCCACCAGCCAGCUGAUUUUUUUUGCUGUUUUGCUGCUAAUCUACUAAUGAUUAUUCCAAUAGUGUAAAUGCCAAUGGGCAACCCCAUCCAGCCUAUUUAUUUAUAGCCACUAUGCUGCAUCAGUUGGGCUACAGGUGAUAAAGUGUAUUGCUAAUAGCAUACCUGAUAAUAUGGACCAUGCAAAGGCUGUAUGCAUGGUCAAAUUUGUCAAAUCAUUUUACCAAUAUAUUAGAGAUGGCGCAGGAGGAGAUGGCUGCCGUUUUACGGGCUCCUAACCAAUUGUGCAUUUCUUUCACACAUUAUUUGUAACUUAUUUUGUACAUAAUGUUUCUGCCACCGUUUGUUAUGACUGAAAAGAGCUUCUGGAUAUCAGGACAGCGAACACUCAACUCGAACU